rnacentral:rRNA from 1 species
UACGUAGGUCGCAAGCGUUGUCCGGAUUUACUGGGCGUAAAGAGCGCGCAGGCGGCUGGUCAAGUCCGAUGUGAAAUCUCCCGGCUCAACUGGGAAACUGCAUCGGAAACUGAUCGGCUUGAAGAUGGGAGAGGGUAGUGGAAUUCCCGGUGUAGUGGUGAAAUGCGUAGAUAUCGGGAGGAACACCAGUGGCGAAGGCGGCCAACUGGACGAAUACUGACGCUGAGACUCGAAAGCGUGGGGAGCAAACAGG